CUUUCUCCUCUAACCAGAUACCAUGAUUGUACAUGCCACAGGUUUCAAACUCGCUCAUCUCAAUGGUUUCCUCUGUGCUGCGGAGAGGAGAGGAUGAUAUCACUCAAGUUUAUGCCCUGAGAACAAUUGAAAAUGUAUGCAGUCAAGGGGGGCAAUGGGCUACACGAUUCACUAGCCAAGAUGUAAUCAGUAACCUGUGUUACAUAUAUAGAGCACCAGGAAAACAAGAGAGCAUGAGGCUUACUGCAGGUUCAUGUUUGGUUCGUCUUGCUCGAUUCAAUCCUUCUAGCAUCCAAUCAGUUAUGGAGAAACUGACAUUCAAGGAGGCUGCAGCUUCAAUUAUGAAAGGAAAUGCACGUGAGCAGCAGUUAAGUCUGAACCUCUUAAGCAUAGCCAUUCUUGGAAAUCAUAUGUUCACAAACCUGGGAAAACAUCUUUUGCCACUGGCUGAAGACAAGAAUUUGGCUCCAGCUCUUGUUUCUAUUGCCGAGCAGGGUAGUGAAAUUUUGAAAGGAAAGGC
rnacentral:lncRNA from 1 species